rnacentral:rRNA from 1 species
UACGUAGGGGGCAAGCGUUGUCCGGAAUCAUUGGGCGUAAAGAGCGUGUAGGCGGCCAGAUAAGUCCGCUGUGAAAUCUCGAGGCUCAACUUCGAGCUGUCGGUGGAAACUGUCUGGCUAGAGUCCGGAAGAGGAGAAUGGAAUUCCUGGUGUAGCGGUGAAAUGCGCAGAUAUCAGGAAGAACACCAGUGGCGAAGGCGGAACUCUGGGCCGGAACUGACGCUGAGGAGCGAAAGCGUGGGGAGCGAACAGG